rnacentral:rRNA from 1 species
AUUGAACGCUGGCGGCGUGCCUAACACAUGCAAGUCGAGCGGUAACAGGUGUAGCAAUACAUGCUGACGAGCGGCGGACGGGUGAGUAACGCUUGGGAAUCUGCCUAUUAGUGGGGGACAACCCGGGGAAACUCGGGCUAAUACCGCAUACGCACUACGGUGGAAAGCCGGGGACCGCAAGGCCUGGCGCUAACAGAUGAGCCCAAGUCGGAUUAGCUAGUUGGUAGGGUAACGGCCACCAAGGCGACGAUCCGUAACUGGUCUGAGAGGACGACCAGUCACACCGGAACUGAGACACGGUCCGGACUCCUACGGGAGGCAGCAGUGGGGAAUAUUGGACAAUGGGCGAAGCCUGAUCCAGCGACGCCGCGUGGGUGAAGAAGGCCUGCGGGUUGUAAAGCCCUUUC